GUGAGGGGGUUUAUAUAAGCCUAUAAGGGCUUUUAGUCGGUGUAAUUUCCUUGGAUUUUAAGGAUUGAAUUAGUUUUUGGUAUUUCUUGUAGCUCAAGUUCUAUUCUUUCCUAAAUUUUGGCAUUAUUGUUUCUGUUAUGAAAUAUUUGUGGUUAUCCAUUAUCCUCCCUGUAUCAUUCCGAAAUAUUCUAGAUCUAGGGUUUAUUGUUAUCUAAGCAAACCCUACUUAUAUUGUAUGUAUAUAUAUCCACAUUCUAUGGAAUAAUAAACUGAUCUAUUCUUUCUCAAUCUCUCAUAUUUUCUCCUUAUUUUAUAACACGUUAUCAGCACCAUUGCUCUUGGAUCUGAAACAAUAUUAUUGAUUCAUAUGAUCAAGAGCAUUACUGCUUCUCAAGGCUACCCAAACUCCAAAACAACUCUCCUCUCCUUCGACACCCUAACUCACUUUCACUCAUAGACUAACAAUCCCGCAGUCCGUGACGGCGUGACGCGUAAUCAGGUCGUGGCCUCCGUGCUCCGUUCUCUGUGCUCAACCGAUUAGUUUUUGGGUUUAUCUGAGUGAAUCAUGUCAAACCUUGCAAAACUCGAAUUUGUUGCUCUUGAUAUUACUGGAAACAACUAUUUGUCUUGGGUGUUAGAUGCUGAAAUACACUUAGAUGCAAAGGGACUUGGUGAUACUAUUAAAGAAAACAAUACUGCAACAAGCCAAGAUAAGGCUAAAGCUAUGAUAUUCCUUCGCCAUCACCUUCAUGAAGGCCUUAAGACUGAAUAUUUGACUAUUAAAGACCCACACGUCCUUUGGAGUAAUCUAAAGGACAAGUAUGACCACCAGAAAACUGUGAUAUUACCAAAGGCUCGUUAUGACUGGUUACAUUUAAGAUUACAAGACUUUAAGUCUGUGUGUGAAUACAACUCAGCCAUGUUUAGAAUUACAUCACAAUUGAAAUUAUGUGGAGAGAAAAUCACGGAUGCAGAAAUGUUAGAAAAAACAUACUCUACUUUUCAUGCAAACAAUGUUGUCCUGCAGACGAGAGUUUUACAAAAUAUUCUGAAUUGAUAUCUUGUCUCCUUGUGGCCGAGAAAAAUAAUGAACUAUUAAUGAAAAAUCAUGAAUCACGCCCAACUGGCUCUACUCCAUUCCCUGAAGCGAAUGCGACAUCCCAUAGUGGGAAAGAGAAAAAGGCUAGAGAUCACGCCAGCAGUCGUGGUCGAGGUCGUGGACGAGGUCGUGGUCGCGGCCGCGGACGUGGACAUGAUCGUGGUCGAGGUGGUCAUUUUAGAAACUCAUACUCUCACCAGAAGUGGGACAAUAAAGAAGGAAAUAAGAAUAAGAAGGAUAAAUAUGAAAACAUAUGCUACCGUUGUGGAGGAAAAGGCCAUUGGUCUCGUGUGUGUCGCACACCAAAACAUCUAGUAGACCUUUACCAACAAUCAAUCAAACAGAAAGGAAAGAAAGUAGAAACAAAUUUGGUGUACGAGGAUGGCAAAGGUGAUUUUGAUUACGGUGAUAAAACUCACCUGGAAGCAGCUGAUUUCUUUCCUAAUUCUAAAGAAAAUAAUUGAAUAAAUUAUGAUCCAUUGGCGAAUAAAAACUAUUAAUUAGCUUGCAUUUAUUUUAGAAUUUUAUCGUAGUACUGUGAUUUUAUGCUUUAUGGGACAUUUGUUUUUGGAUA